AAGGAAAGAAAGAGAAAGAGAGAGAAGGAAGGAAAGAGGAAGGAAAAGGAAGGAAGGAAGGAAAUAUUUUGUAGAUGCAGUGAUAUGGUUUUGCUGUGUCCCCGCCCAAAUCUCAGAUUGCAGCUCCCAAAAUUCCCACGUGUCAUGGGACUUACCCAGUGGGAGGCAACUGAAUCACAGGGGCAGGUCUUUUCUUUGCUGUUCACACGAUAGUGAAGACGUCUCACGAGAUCGGAUGAUUUUACAAAGGGCAGCUCCCCUGCACACACUGCCAUGAUUGUGAAUCCCUCCUCUGCCAUGUGGAACUCCUUGUCCACACAUCUCAUCACACACGUGCACAGCAAACAGGCACACGCAGUGUGAACCCAGGCCCAGCUCUCCGAGAGAACUCUAGUCAACACGUCGUCCGUGGGACAUCAGCUGUAUUUCUGUUCCUUUCCUUCUUUUCUGUCUCGUUCUCCUAUUCCCAAAACUCCGUUGUGUUUCUGAUUUGUUGACAUCGCUUUCGGCAAAAGGAAAGCACAACGCUAAGUGGGGUUUAUAAAUCUAUCUUCGUUGUCAAGGGAAGAUUGAAACGGCACGGAGACAAAUGAAAUUGUGCACGGGACACACCGCCAACAAAACGCUGAUAAGUGCAGAAAGACUGUUUAGAAGGAAACAUGUCCAAAAAAAAAAGAAAGGAUCUUAAUCAUGGUUUAAGCUUAUGUGAUGGAUUUCAACAGAAACACAUCAAGUCUAAUUGAAUGUUUACGUGCACUUUUUAUGGUUUCUGUAUUCUGUGUAAUGAGAUAACUUUAAAAAAAGCGUUGAGACGCAAGAAACUCUGGGAUUCUUCUAAAGGGAGAGUUGGAGUUUACUACAUUCAACAUGGAUGGCUUCUCUUCUGUAUUUCAACAGCGUUAUCGUCUGCGAAUUUGGAGAUUCUCUGAAAGCUUCACGGCCGUCCUGGGUCUCAAACUCUUUGAAUAUUCAUACUAUAAACUAUCUGACAACAUGGGAUUGGGUUUUGGCAUUCUCUAGGUCUACUGAGAGAGGUUCUGGAAUGCAAUUUAACUUUAAAUGCCUACCUACCUACCUGCCUAUCAUCUAUCUAUCUGUGUGACAUCUAUCUGUCUUUCAGUCAUCUAUCCAUUCGUCUCAUCUAUCUACCUACCUAUCUAUUCAUCCAUCUCAUCUAUCUAUCCAUCCAUCCAUCCAUCCAUUCAUCCUGCCAUCUAUCCAUCUAUGUAUCUAUCUAUUUAUCUAUGUAUCUAUCUACCUAUCUAUCUAUCUAUCUACGUAUCUAUCUAUUCAUCCAUCUCAUCUAUCCAUCCAUCCAUCCAUCCAUUCAUCCUGCCAUCUAUCCAUCUAUGUAUCUAUUUAUCUAUGUAUCUAUCUACCUAUCUAUCUAGUCAUCCAUCUCAUCUAUCUUCCUAUCCAUGUAUCAUCUAUCUACUUACCUAUUAUCUAUCAUCUGUCAAUC
rnacentral:lncRNA from 1 species